CAUAUUUGUGUAACGUAAUUGGAAAGUUCUUAUUUAGCAGUUGUUUGUUUUGUGAAAUUUCAGCAAUGCUUCCAGUUGGACGAGAAUAAAAUUCGCAUUAGUCUCCAUUACUUUCAGACGCUCGCCGAUAAACUGAAAGCAGAGAGAGAAUUGCGUGAAGCCAACAGUCUACAGAAUUUGGAGGAAGAGUUGGAAGUCACGAAAAGAGCCGUCAUGGAAAUGAGACAGUGUAGAACAUCUCUUUAAAAAAGAGGGAGAUCACGGACAUCGACGACGACGGAGAAUUGCCAGAAAAAUGUGAAGAAGUCGUUCAUCAAUAUCGGCGGAAACGUAACUACAUAAAACAACUGGAGAAGGACGUGACCGAAAAACAGAACAAACUAGAUCAGCUGAAGGACAAAAUAGAAGAAAUUAAGAAGUGUUGGCUUCCUCAUUUGGAAGAUUUGAUAAGUACAAUAAACAAUAACUUCAGUCAUUUCGGGUCCAUGAUUCUAUCCACAGAUAUGACUAAUGGCUCAAUCAUCACGGUGAUUAUGUCGAAAAGUAACCAUGUUUGUACCUAACUUUUGGUAAUAAAUUCAUUUUGUUAUUUACACUUGUCUUUGUUUUAUAGACCAUUAGAGGUUGGGAAAAAAUCGCCCUCAUAACUUGUAUCUUCAGUCUGAAGAUACAAGUUAAUAUUUAAAAAGUAAGCUACCUUAAAUCUACGACUCCUCAUUACUUUCUGUUAAUUUCGUCUUCCCAAUAAAUUCCCAAACUUUUUGACCGAUCUGGGCCAAAUUUUGCGUAGUAAGUCUUUACAAUUCUCCAAAAAUAUACGCUACUUUAAAACUCGGAACCUCACUUAUUUUCCCGAUUUCAUCACCACCCAAAUUGCCAAAUCAUUGGACUGAUUUUCACCAAAUUUUACAUAGUUACUCUCUGCCACUUUGCGAGAAAUAUACGCUACCCUAAAACGAUGACAACUCAACUCCUUCAGUGAA